GCGGAAGCAACAAUAUCUGAGUACAGACAUAAGUUAAACAAGUUUGCCUUAAGAAGGCUAGUACAAAAGUAGCAACGAUCGAAAAGGCAAGACCUCCUGCCUGGGACCUCCUAACUACUCCUCGAAGCCGAACUCCAUGUAGAAACAUCCUCGGGAUCUCUAGCUCCUGGACUCCAGCAUCUGGUUGCGACAAUCAGGUAUAGAAAGGGGAAAAGAGGGAGAAAAGCAACCGUGAGUACUCAUCCAAAGUACUCGCAAGCAAGGAUCUACACCACAUAUGCAUGGGUAUAUGUGUAAAGGGCCAUAUCGGUGGACUGAACUGCAGAAUGUCAGAAUAAGAGGGGGAUAGCUAAUCCUGUCGAAGACUACGCUUCUGGCCACCUUCAUCUUGCAGCGUGUAGAAGAGAGUAGAUUGUAAGUUCACCAAGUAGCAUCGCAUAGCAUAAUCCUACCCGGCGAUCCACUCCUCGUCGCCCUGUUAGAGAGCGAUCACCGGGUUGUAUUUGGCACUUGGAAGGGUGUGUUUUAUUAAGUAUCCAGUUCUAGUUGUCAUAAUGUCAAGGUACAACUCCGGGUCGUCCUUUUACCAAGGGACACGGCUAUUCGAAUAGAUAAACUUCCCUGCAGGGGUGCACCACAUAACCCAUCACGCUUGAUCCCAUUUGGCCGGACACACUUUUCUGGGUCAUGCCCGGCCUCGUAAGAUCAACACGUCGCAGCCCUACCUAGGCACAACAGAGAGGUCAGCACGCCGGUCUAAACCCUAUGCGCGCAGGGGUCUGGGCCCAUCGCCCAUUGCACACCUGCAUGUUGCGUACGCGGCCGGAAGCAGACCUAGCUCCCUUAAUACAAGCGCGAGCUUACGGUCCAAUGCGGCGCGCGCCACUCAGUCGCUGACGUCACGAAGGCUUCGGCUGAUACCACGACGUCGGGAUACCCAUAACUACUCCCACGUAGAUGGUUAGUGCGUAUAGACCAAAUGGCCAGACUCAGAUCAAAUACCAAGAACUCGUUAAGCGUGUUAAGUAUCCGCGAACGCCGACCAGGGCCAGGCCCACCUCUCUCCUAGGUAGUCUCAACCCGCCCUGUCGCUCCGCCACAAAGUAACAGUCGGGGGCCGUCGGGAACCCAGGCCCACCUCUACCGGGAUGGAGCCACCUGUCCUUUCAGCCCCCUCAUUCAGUCGCACUUGCGGGUACUCAAUGAGCCGACCCAACUUUAGUCACCACACGUGUCAUAUAUAUAGUAUAUAAGUAUAUACCCGUGAUCACCUCCCGAAGUGAUCACGGCCCAGUAGUAUAGCAUGGCAGACGGACAAGAGUGUAGGGCCACUGAUGGAAAACUAGCAUCCUAUACUAAGCAGUAGGAUAGCAGGCAAGGGAAACAGCUGUAGCAACAAUGACAGGCUAUGCAACAGAAUAGGAUUAACCGAAAGCAGUAACAUGCUACACUACUCUAAUGCAAGCAGUAGAGAGUAGAGUAGGCGAUAUCUGGUGAUCAAGGGGGGGGGGCUUGCCUGGUUGCUCUGGCAAGGAGGGGUCGUCGACAGCGUAGUCGGUCGGGGCACCAGCAGCGGCGUCGGUCUCGUAGUCUACCGGAGAAGACGGGAAGAAACAAUAAAUAUAAUGCAAACAUAAGCAUGACGAUGGAAGACAUGUCAAUGCGCGGUGCUAGGUGUGCCCUAACACGGUAGGAGGUGGUACCGGGAAAGGGGGGAAACAUCCGGAAAAGUAUUCCCGGUGUUUCGCGUUUUCGGACAGAUGAACCGAAGGGGGAAAGUUGCGUGUUUGCUAUGCUAGGUAUGUGUGGCGGGCGAACGGGCUGCCUAUCCAGAUUCGUCUCGUCGUUCUGAGCAACUUUUAUGUACAAAGUAUUUCCAUCUGACUUACGGUUUAUUUUAUAUGAUUUUUUAAAAUUUUAUAACAUUCUAGAAUUUAUUUUAAUUCGAAAACAUUUACAGCGUCAUCAUGACGCCAGCGGUCAAAGUUGACCAUUGACCAGUCAACUGACUGAUGGGUCCCAUUUGUCAUUGCCUCCACACUAAUUAAAGAGUUAAUCACUAUAAUUGGGCAGGUUAAUUAGGUUAAGUUAAUUAACCUAAAUUAGUUAAGUUAAUUAAUUUAAUUAAUUAAUUAAUCUAAUUAUUAAUUAUAUUUGUUAUCUCUUUUUUUUGUUUAUGGGGGAGGGCCCCACUGUCAUUUGCUAGCAGUUAACCUACUAAUAAUUAACCCCUAAGCUAAUUUGCACGGCUGGCCGGUGGUGGCUGUGCCUACACACGCACACCACAUGUGCUUGAACAUGGCCACGUCCAUGGCCAUUAGCAGCAACUAGCACCGGCUGGAGCAGCAACUAACAGCGGCAGCUGGAGGAAUUAGCAGCAGCAUCUAGGAGCAGCCGUAGUCUAGCUAGAGCAGCAGCGGAGGCUACGCAGAAGAGUAGCAGUAUGCAGCAACUAGCACCGCCGCAAGCCGUAGCAGUACAGCGCCGCAGCAGCAGCAGCAUGGCAGGGCGCGGCCGACGUGUGGGCGAGGCGGCAGCGGGCAUGCGCGGGGUGGCCAAGGGCGUGGCGGGAGCGCGGGCAAGGCUAGGCGGGCGCGGCCAGGAGCAGCAACAGUAGGCACACACGUAUGUACGCAUACGCGCGAGCUCGGAUGAGCUCGGGACAGAGGCUAUGGCAAUGAAUCGAAGGGGCAAGCAGGGGGGAAUAGAGGAGGAGCUCACUACGGUGUUGUAGGGACAGGCAACGGGCUCGGGGAGGCUCCAGCGGCGGCGAAUCGAAGGUGGCGACCGGCGAUGUAGAAGGUUGAAGACGGGGCUGGAUCCGGAUAUGGACAGGGGCCAGCUUGUUCCAGUGGGCGAGGAAGUCGAAGAAGACGCCGACGGAGCUUCUGGACACGUCGGUAGGCUGCGGGGUAGACGGUCGCUGCGGAGGAGUGCGACGAACGGCGACGGAGACGCUCGGGAUGGUGGGGGAGAGAGAGCGAUGCGAGGCGGGGAAAAGAC
rnacentral:lncRNA from 1 species